UUGGCUCAGUGGAUAGAGCAUUGGCCUGCAGACCAAAAGGUCCUGGGUUCAAUUCCAGGA
rnacentral:tRNA from 1 species